UACGUAGGCAGCGAGCGUUGUUCGGAAUUACUUGGCGUAAAGAGUGUGUAGGCGGUGCUCUAAGUUCGGUGUGAAAUCUCCCGGCUUAACUGGGAGGGUGCGCCGGAAACUGGAGUGCUCGAGCGUGGGAGAGGAAAGCGGAAUUCCUGGUGUAGCGGUGAAAUGCGUAGAUAUCAGGAGGAACACCUGCGGUGUAGACGGCUUUCUGGACCAUAGCUGACGCUGAGACACGAAAGCGUGGGUAGCAAACAGG
rnacentral:rRNA from 1 species